rnacentral:rRNA from 1 species
AGUGAACGCUGGCGGUAGGCCUAACACAUGCAAGUCGAACGGCAGCACAGUAAGAGCUUGCUCUUACGGGUGGCGAGUGGCGGACGGGUGAGGAAUACAUCGGAAUCUACCUUUUCGUGGGGGAUAACGUAGGGAAACUUACGCUAAUACCGCAUACGACCUACGGGUGAAAGCAGGGGAUCUUCGGACCUUGCGCGAUUGAAUGAGCCGAUGUCGGAUUAGCUAGUUGGCGGGGUAAAGGCCCACCAAGGCGACGAUCCGUAGCUGGUCUGAGAGGAUGAUCAGCCACACUGGAACUGAGACACGGUCCAGACUCCUACGGGAGGCAGCAGUGGGGAAUAUUGGACAAUGGGCGCAAGCCUGAUCCAGCCAUACCGCGUGGGUGAAGAAGGCCUUCGGGUUGUAAAGCCCUUUUGUUGGGAAAGAAAAGCAGCAGGUUAAUACCCCGCUGCUCUGACGGUACCCAAAGAAUAAGCACCGGCUAACUUCGUG